rnacentral:rRNA from 1 species
CAAUAGCGUAUAUUAAAGUUGUUGCGGUAAAAAAGCUCGUAGUUGGAUUUCUACCGAAGAUAGCCGGUCGGGUCUUCGACCUUGUAUCUGGUUUUGUCUUUGGUAUCCUCAUAGGGAACGUUUCUGCGCUUUAUUGCGUGGUGCGGUAUCUAUGACUUUUACUUUGAGGAAAUUAGAGUGUUCACGGCAGGCAAACGCCUUGAAUAUAUUAGCAUGGAAUAAUAACAUAGGAUCUUCGUCCUAUUUUGUUGGUUUCUAGGGCUAAGAUAAUGAUUAAUAGGGAUAAUUGGGGGCAUCUGUAUCAACGCGUCAGAGGUGGAAUUCUGGGAUUGCGUUGCGACAAACUACUGCGAAAGCAUUUGCCAAGGAUGUUUUCAUUGA